ACCGAGCGGCGGGCGGAGAGAGCGCGUCAGUCCGCCGGAGCGGGGAGCUGUGUGCACCUCCGCUUGGGACUCGUCGCUCCCGGGAGCCGCGCAGCUCCCUUCGCGGUAGCAGAAGCGACAGAGAGCGCCAUCCGCGGACCCUCGCGGCGCCCAGGCCUCGUUGCGCGCGCCCCGCUCGCUCUCGGAGUCGGCCCAGCCCGCCGCCGGUGGAGGCUGAGGCGACGACGGGCGACCGCCGCGAGCCGCCUUAGCCGCUGCGGCCUUCGAUCCUCCCUCCGCCUCCUUCUUUGCCCCCCCCGCUUCCCUCCUCCCACUUCCCGAGCUCCAGCGUGUCCCGGCCACGCUCGGUGUCGCUGCGGGAACAAAGGAGGAACCCGCGGCGGCGACACCACCUCCGCCUGCGGCUACGACCUGCUGCCGGCCGGCCGCGGCGGCUCCAGGGCGGCCGGCUUACCUAUCCCGGAGGCCUCGGCCCGGCUCUACUGCGCCGGCGUCGCGCGCGAGCCCGGCUCCUGCCCCCGCAGGGAGAACAAUGGCUCAGGAGACUAACCAGACCCCAGGGCCCAUGCUGUGUAGUACAGGAUGUGGCUUUUAUGGGAAUCCUAGGACAAAUGGAAUGUGUUCUGUUUGCUUCAAAGAACAUCUUCAGAGACAGCAGAAGAGUGGCAGAAUGAGCCCAAUGGGAACAGCUAGUGGUUCCAACAGUCCUACCUCAGAUUCUGCAUCUGUACAAAGGGCAGACACUAGUUUAAACAACUGUGAAGGUACUGCUGGCAGCACAACUGAAAAAUCAAGAAAUGUGCCUGUGGCUGCCUUGCCUGUAACGCAGCAAAUGACAGAAAUGAGCAUUUCAAGAGAAGACAAAAUAACUACCCCGAAAACAGAGGUGUCAGAGCCAGUUGUCACUCAGCCCAGUCCAUCAGUUUCUCAGCCCAGUACUUCUCAAAGUGAAGAAAAAGCUCCUGAGUUGCCCAAACCAAAGAAGAACAGAUGUUUCAUGUGCAGAAAGAAAGUUGGCCUUACAGGGUUUGACUGCCGAUGUGGAAAUUUGUUUUGUGGACUUCACCGUUACUCUGACAAGCACAACUGUCCUUAUGAUUACAAAGCAGAAGCUGCAGCAAAAAUCAGAAAAGAGAAUCCAGUUGUUGUGGCUGAAAAAAUCCAGAGAAUAUAAAUUACUACUUGUGAAGAGACUGAAACAUUGUUUUUAUUUUAAUAUAUCGUAGGAAAACAUUAAAGAGCAGAUGCAUGGCCAUUUUUCUUUGAUGUUCUCCAGAGUUUUACUUCACACUUGUCUGUCUUAUAGUUGAUAUUUUAGGUUGUUUGGGUGUUUGUUACAGGCAGAAUUGGAUAGAUACAGCCCUACAAAAUGUAUAUGCCCUCCCUUGAAUAAAAUUGGAUGAAAAUCUGCACAGCAAAUUGAAAUA